AGAGUUUGAUCAUGGCUCAGAUUGAACGCUGGCGGCAGGCCUAACACAUGCAAGUCGAGCGGUAGCACAGAGAGCUUGCUCUCGGGUGACGAGCGGCGGACGGGUGAGUAAUGUCUGGGAAACUGCCUGAUGGAGGGGGAUAACUACUGGAAACGGUAGCUAAUACCGCAUAAUGUCGCAAGACCAAAGUGGGGGACCUUCGGGCCUCAUGCCAUCAGAUGUGCCCAGAUGGGAUUAGCUAGUAGGUGGGGUAACGGCUCACCUAGGCGACGAUCCCUAGCUGGUCUGAGAGGAUGACCAGCCACACUGGAACUGAGACACGGUCCAGACUCCUACGGGAGGCAGCAGUGGGGAAUAUUGCACAAUGGGCGCAAGCCUGAUGCAGCCAUGCCGCGUGUGUGAAGAAGGCCUUCGGGUUGUAAAGCACUUUCAGCGGGGAGGAAGGCGAUAAGGUUAAUAACCUUGGCGAUUGACGUUACCCGCAGAAGAAGCACCGGCUAACUCCGUGCCAGCAGCCGCGGUAAUACGGAGGGUGCAAGCGUUAAUCGGAAUUACUGGGCGUAAAGCGCACGCAGGCGGUCUGUCAAGUCGGAUGUGAAAUCCCCGGGCUCAACCUGGGAACUGCAUUCGAAACUGGCAGGCUAGAGUCUUGUAGAGGGGGGUAGAAUUCCAGGUGUAGCGGUGAAAUGCGUAGAGAUCUGGAGGAAUACCGGUGGCGAAGGCGGCCCCCUGGACAAAGACUGACGCUCAGGUGCGAAAGCGUGGGGAGCAAACAGGAUUAGAUACCCUGGUAGUCCACGCCGUAAACGAUGUCGAUUUGGAGGUUGUGCCCUUGAGGCGUGGCUUCCGGAGCUAACGCGUUAAAUCGACCGCCUGGGGAGUACGGCCGCAAGGUUAAAACUCAAAUGAAUUGACGGGGGCCCGCACAAGCGGUGGAGCAUGUGGUUUAAUUCGAUGCAACGCGAAGAACCUUACCUGGUCUUGACAUCCACAGAACUUUCCAGAGAUGGAUUGGUGCCUUCGGGAACUGUGAGACAGGUGCUGCAUGGCUGUCGUCAGCUCGUGUUGUGAAAUGUUGGGUUAAGUCCCGCAACGAGCGCAACCCUUAUCCUUUGUUGCCAGCGGUCCGGCCGGGAACUCAAAGGAGACUGCCAGUGAUAAACUGGAGGAAGGUGGGGAUGACGUCAAGUCAUCAUGGCCCUUACGACCAGGGCUACACACGUGCUACAAUGGCAUAUACAAAGAGAAGCGACCUCGCGAGAGCAAGCGGACCUCAUAAAGUAUGUCGUAGUCCGGAUUGGAGUCUGCAACUCGACUCCAUGAAGUCGGAAUCGCUAGUAAUCGUAGAUCAGAAUGCUACGGUGAAUACGUUCCCGGGCCUUGUACACACCGCCCGUCACACCAUGGGAGUGGGUUGCAAAAGAAGUAGGUAGCUUAACCUUCGGGAGGGCGCUUACCACUUUGUGAUUCAUGACUGGGGUGAAGUCGUAACAAGGUAACCGUAGGGGAACCUGCGGUUGGAUCACCU
rnacentral:rRNA from 1 species